UGGGGAAUUUUGGACAAUGGGGGAAACCCUGAUCCAGCCAUCCCGCGUGUGCGAUGAAGGCCUUCGGGUUGUAAAGCACUUUUGGCAGGAAAGAAACGUCAUGGGUCAAUACCCCGUGAAACUGACGGUACCUGCAGAAUAAGCACCGGCUAACUACGUGCCAGCAGCCGCGGUAAUACGUAGGGUGCAAGCGUUAAUCGGAAUUACUGGGCGUAAAGCGUGCGCAGGCGGUUCGGAAAGAAAGAUGUGAAAUCCCAGAGCUCAACUUUGGAACUGCAUUUUUAACUACCGGGCUAGAGUGUGUCAGAGGGAGGUGGAAUUCCGCGUGUAGCAGUGAAAUGCGUAGAUAUGCGGAGGAACACCGAUGGCGAAGGCAGCCUCCUGGGAUAACACUGACGCUCAUGCACGAAAGCGUGGGGAGCAAACAGG
rnacentral:rRNA from 1 species